GACGAACGCUGGCGGCGUGCUUAACACAUGCAAGUCGAACGGAAAGGCCCUGCUUUUGUGGGGUGCUCGAGUGGCGAACGGGUGAGUAACACGUGAGUAACCUGCCCUUGACUUUGGGAUAACUUCAGGAAACUGGGGCUAAUACCGGAUAGGAGCUCCUGCUGCAUGGUGGGGGUUGGAAAGUUUCGGCGGUUGGGGAUGGACUCGCGGCUUAUCAGCUUGUUGGUGGGGUAGUGGCCUACCAAGGCUUUGACGGGUAGCCGGCCUGAGAGGGUGACCGGCCACAUGGGGACUGAGAGACGGCCCAGACUCCUACGGGAGGCAGCAGUGGGGAAUAUUGCACAAUGGGCGGAAGCCUGAUGCAGCAACGCCGCGUGCGGGAUGACGGCCUUCGGGUUGUAAACCGCUUUCGCAUGUGACGAAGAGUGAGUGACGGUAAUGGGUAAAGAAGCACCGGCUAACUACGUG
rnacentral:rRNA from 1 species